AACGAACGCUGGCGGCGCGCCUAAUACAUGCAAGUCGAGCGAGAAGACGUAGCAAUACGUUUGUAAAGCGGCGAACGGGUGAGGAAUACAUGGGUAACCUACCCUCGAGUGGGGAAGUAACUAGCCGAAGGUUAGCUAUACCGCGUACGCUCCUUGGACUUCGGUUCAGGAGGAAAGCGAUACCGUGGGUAUCGCGCUCUUGGAUGGGCUCAUGUCCUAUCAGCUUGUUGGUGAGGUAACGGCUCACCAAGGCUUCGACGGGUAGCUGGUCUGAGAGGACGGAUCAGCCACACUGGCACUGCGACACGGGCCAGACUCCUACGGGAGGCAGCAGUAAGGAAUAUUGCGCAAUGGGCGAAAGCCUGACGCAGCGACGCCGCGUGGGGGAGUGAAGGGUAC
rnacentral:rRNA from 1 species